rnacentral:tRNA from 1 species
UCCCUGGUAGCUCAGAUGGUAAAGCAUCUGCCUGCAAAGCAGGAGACCUGGGUUCAAUUCCUGGGUUGGGAA